rnacentral:rRNA from 1 species
UUUAUUGGAGAGUUUGAUCCUGGCUCAGGAUGAACGCUGGCGGCGUGCCUAAUACAUGCAAGUCGAGCGAAUGGAUUAAGAGCUUGCUCUUAUGAAGUUAGCGGCGGACGGGUGAGUAACACGUGGGUAACCUGCCCAUAAGACUGGGAUAACUCCGGGAAACCGGGGCUAAUACCGGAUAACAUUUUGAACCGCAUGGUUCGAAAUUGAAAGGCGGCUUCGGCUGUCACUUAUGGAUGGACCCGCGUCGCAUUAGCUAGUUGGUGAGGUAACGGCUCACCAAGGCAACGAUGCGUAGCCGACCUGAGAGGGUGAUCGGCCACACUGGGACUGAGACACGGCCCAGACUCCUACGGGAGGCAGCAGUAGGGAAUCUUCCGCAAUGGACGAAAGUCUGACGGAGCAACGCCGCGUGAGUGAUGAAGGCUUUCGGGUCGUAAAACUCUG